UUUCCUUUGUGCUUGGCCUCAAUACUUCUCUUAUUUAAUACCGGGCUUCAGAGCUACACUGUUCAAACGCUGCAGAUACUGUGUUUGCAGAAUGGAUGACAAUCUUGCAAAUCAGGGACCACUGAAAGCACGAUAAGAAAAUAAAUACGAGGAGUGGUGGAGAGGCCAGGCUCUGGAUCCAGCGGUGUAAUUUUUUAACCUCUAAGGCUCCAGUUGUAAAACAAGGACAAUAACAGUGCCGACCUCACAGUGAUCUGAGGACUGAAUGAGAGAUGUACUGUGCUCAGCCCGGUGCCAGGCCCAUGGAAAGCCAUCGGGAAGCCCCAGUGUUCAUCAUGUCCAGAGUGAAUAUGGUUCUUGCUCUGCCACUUUUCACAUAGUCAGAGUUUGGAAAGUAUUUUCAGCUUUUUUGGGGGGGUCAAACCCCCAUGCUGACUCAACUGAGGGAGGUUGAUUUAAAACGGAAAUGACAUUUGAUGAAUAUGUUUAUUGUCUAAAAUUCAUGAAAUGCUGGAAAAUGUUUUUAAAAAUCUAAGAUUUCUUUUUAGCUAGAGUCAGAAAUUCCCCCAGGGUUGUAUGAAAACCUCUAGAAACAUUAGGUACCCAGGAAGCGUUUCCAGCCUCCAGACCCUUUCAAGAACACACAUCUACUCCCUAAUAUCAUUAUUUGCUUGGACACAUCGUGUGAACUAGCAUCUUUUUAAAAAGUAAAAGGGAAACCUCUGUUGCCCUUAUGUUUUAACCAAUAAUGCAUUGGACGUUCCAGGUAAAGUCUACAUCAGUUUCCUUCUAAAAGAUUGUAAAUCUGAGCUUCUUAAGCUAAUAGCUGUGGCUAUUCUCCUGCUGGUAGCACCUCAGGGGAAAAAAAUCUGCUGAAGGAAGCAGACCGCUCAGUUUUGCUGAUCUUUUCCUCUGCCUUUGAUGCCACGGGCUGGUAUCAAGUGUGAACUAAGCUCUUUGAAUUCAAAAUAGAAGCCCAAAUAUUGAUUUUAAUAGAGAACUACCUCUUUAUCAGUACAAGUGACAGGGCCUGGGGGAACAUUCUUCACAUGGGUCUGAUAACAAUGUUUACUGGGACUAUGAGGGGCAGGCCCUGGACCUCUGGACCCAAAGGAUUUGAGAUCACUUUUGGAUGAGCUGAAUGCGCACAGAGUAAAACAAUAACCACUCUUCCAUGUGCAGGCAACGUGAUUCAUUGUCACACAACAGUAAUUAUCUUAACAGAGCCUGGCCCUGCUAUUUAUAACACUAUUAUAAAUCAGAGCUAAAGCUUAAUAUUUCCAAAGAAAAAGCUGUAAUUUUUGGAAAAUGACUUCUAACAUUUUUGAGAAUACAACUCAUUCAGUUAACUAAGAGUACAUUUUACAAGUGCAAGAAGUACCUAAUAAGAAGUUGUGUUAAUUAAAUGUUAGCCUCCGAGAAUGCUUUGUGGGAGAUUUUUUUAAUAGCAUGAAACAGACUAGUUAACACUGGUCUCGAAUUUUUUUUUUUUGAAGAUAAAAAUCAUAGUCGUACUCUGGGACAGUGUUUCUCAGUCUUGGGUUAUGUGUAGACCCCUUUGUAAAAUGUUUAAAUUAUGCUGUAUUUGAUACAUACAAAAUAAUAUAAAACAU